GUCUUGCUGUCACUUAUAGAUGGAUCCGCGCUGCAUUAGCUAGUUGGUAAGGUAACGGCUUACCAAGGCAACGAUGCAUAGCCGACCUGAGAGGGUGAUCGGCCACACUGGAACUGAGACACGGUCCAGACUCCUACGGGAGGCAGCAGUAGGGAAUCUUCCGCAAUGGGCGAAAGCCUGACGGAGCAACGCCGCGUGAGUGAUGAAGGUCUUCGGAUCGUAAAACUCUGUUAUUAGGGAAGAACAUAUGUGUAAGUAACUGUGCACAUCUUGACGGUACCUAAUCAGAAAGCCACGGCUAACUACGUGCCAGCAGCCGCGGUAAUACGUAGGUGGCAAGCGUUAUCCGGAAUUAUUGGGCGUAAAGCGCGCGUAGGCGGUUUUUUAAGUCUGAUGUGAAAGCCCACGGCUCAACCGUGGAGGGUCAUUGGAAACUGGAAAACUUGAGUGCAGAAGAGGAAAGUGGAAUUCCAUGUGUAGCGGUGAAAUGCGCAGAGAUAUGGAGGAACACCAGUGGCGAAGGCGACUUUCUGGUCUGUAACUGACGCUGAUGUGCGAAAGCGUGGGGAUCAAACAGGAUUAGAUACCCUGGUAGUCCAC
rnacentral:rRNA from 1 species